rnacentral:sRNA from 1 species
AUUCAGUGGACACAUUUUAGUGAAUCCAGAUGAAGUAUAAGGUCCUGGUCCCUUGCUUCCAUCUGGUCAAUUUCAGUUCAAUUUUCCCUGUCUAAUCCUGCGUUCGUCACUCCCCUAGCAAGGCUGUUUUCUGGUGCGCUUUCCUGUGUGCAAAUCUCUGCCUGUGUGUGCUCGCGAGUACACACACACACACACACACACACACACACACACACACACACCUUUAAAAAUCUUUUUAAAAAGAAUACCUGUUGUUGGGCUUAGUGGCUCACAUCUUGACCCUCAGCACACAGAAGGCAGAUACAGGUAGAUCUCUGUGAGUUUACGGCUAGCCUAGUCUAUGGAAUGAGUGAAAUAUGUUUUGGGGAACUUGAUGUUAAGAGUCAUUUUCCUCACAUAUUCAAAAUAUCUAUAAUAUAAGAAGGAAUGUAAGAGAUGAACAGGGAGGAGUGCUGUAAAAACUGCCUCCUGGACAUACAAUGUGGUGGCUGCUUUGAUGAGAUCAUAGCUGUGGUUACCUACACAAAAGACAGGGCCUGUCAACAUUCCGUUGUGGGGGUUGGACUGAUGAGGCCCCAUCCCUCCCUGAGGAACCAUCGGUAAAGUCAGUGGCUGCUCUGAGAGAGGAGUAAUUUUCUUCAGUAGUGUAUUUACUGGUUAGUUGCCAGUGUUCCUAUAAUCCUCCCUCCCAUGCUUAUUCAAGCAACCCUAAUUAAACUCAGUGGGUUGCAUUCAUAGAAAAGACAUGAAAAUAGAAGGGGAACUACUUGGGAAGAAGGAGGGGCUCAUGGGGAGGGGUGCAAGAGAGGGUGAUAGGGGUACAUGAAUGAAGCUGAGAGUAGUGGCACACACCUGUCAUAGGCCAGUCUCAGCAACAUAGUAAGUUUGAGGCCCGCCUAGGCUGCGUCAGAUCCUGUCUCACAGACAUAAACAGAAGAUUUUAUCAGUAUGUUUGCUUUUUAUUGUUAUCCAUUUUACAAAUGAUGGACAUCACGUGACAUUUUCAUACAUGUACUUUAAUCUACUGUGGUCACAUUCACUUCUUGUUAGCAAAUCUUGUCCUCCCUUCCCCUCUUACUGUUCCCCUUCCUCUUCCCGAAUAAAGUCCUCCCUCCCCUUUUAUGCCAUGUAUACAUAUAUUUAAAUCUAGAUUUUGCAUGUAAGAACCAACAGGCAGAACUUGUUUUGUGUGUCUGCCUUUAUUAGUAAUGAUGAUCUCUAAUUGUAACCAUUUCCCUCCAAAUGAUGCAAUUUUCUUCUUGUUUAUGGCUGAAUAAAUCUUUAGAUACAAUGUUUUCCAGACUUCGAGCUGUCUUUGGUCCAGGUUAUAGUAAAUUUAAGGUGAAUUGCAGUAAGUUAACAUCGACACUUUACAUUGCCCAAACUUAGUAUCUUUUUUAGGUGGUAAUUUUUCAAUGGAAAUUAGUGUUAUUUCACACUGAGCACUUUCUAUGUAAUUUACUUUAUUUCGGGUUCCAGGAAUGUGGUUUUCUAUCAUUUGGCCAUUGACUUUCAAAAGUGAUAACAGGAAUGACUGGAGAUCUAGCCACAGUGCAAAAGUCUUAUUAUUUUUCUAUUUCUUUGGAGUCUUAAAUACUGGCUUUUAUCUACAUGUUGUUCUAUUAAUCAUAGUAACUCAUUUCCAGUUCCUGGAAGCAUGUUGGUUUAGCCCACACUUACUUUUUCAGUCUUGAUUGCAUUUCUCCCUGUGUGCUGGGCACUGGGUUAUAAUGAUCACUCCCAAAGAGGCUAUGCAGCCAGAUACCUUGUCUUUCUGGUUUUUAGAGACAUGGUUUCUCUGUGUAGCCCUGGUUGUCCUGGAACUCCCUCAGUAGACCAGGCUAGCCUCAAACUCGGAGAUCCACCUGCCUCUGCCUCUCAAGUGCGGAUUAAAGGUUUGUCACUACCGCCCAACUAAAAUAUUCUUAAACACUACAAAAAUGUCAGGUUUUCUGCUUUUGAGUUUCUCUCCGUUUAAUGGGGUUUCAAAGGGGGAAAGUAGAGCUAAUGGUAAGAUGUGGUAAUUACUACACAAGAUAGUAAAGGUAUAGCUGGACUAUCACAGGAGAGAACCAGGCAAGCAGUGUCUGAGAAGCCUGGGUCAUGGUCUAAAGAUGUUUCCUUUCCUCCUGAACAGUUUGGAUUAACAUUAACUGUCUUUCCUUACAGCUCAGUGCUGAAAGAACUAAAUAAAUUCUUUUUUUCCUUGUUUGUUUAUUUACCCAGGUCUCAGUGUGCAGCUCUAACUCCCUGAAACUCACAACAUACAUCAGUCUGGCCUCAAACUCAGAUUUACCUAUCUGUGCUUCCCCGUAUCAGGAUUAAAGGCGUGAGCCACCAUGCCCUGCUAUGAAUUCCUACUGUAGGUUUUACAUAUGAAUAUGAAAUGACCCUGCAGGUAAAAUGCCUACUAUGUAGGCCUGAUGGCCCAAGUUCAUACCUCAAAAUCCAUGUAAAGGCUCAAAAAAGAGAAUUGACUGACUCUUAAAAUCGUCCUCUGACCUCCACAUGCGAGUCAUGGCAUAAUAAUUUGUAAUUAAUAUAUUUUACUAUAUAAUUUAUAAUUCUAAACAUUCAUUCCUUUUUAUUGUAUGUGUAUGUGUAAAUUCCUGCAUGUGUACAUGUGGACCACAUGCUUGUCUGGUACCUUAGGUCAGAAGAGGGAAUUGGAUCUCUUGGAAUUGGAGUUACAGGCAGUCGUGAGAUACCAUAUGGAUGCUGGGAUUGAAACUCAAGUACUCUGUAAGAGCACUGAGGGUGCCUAACUGCUGAGUCAUCUCUACAGCCCCAUAAUAAGACCAUACAAGCAAGGAAACGAACUUUCUUGGGAUAAGAGAGACCACUUGGCAGAAAAAUGCUCUCUUUGUUCUCAUUCAAAUGACCUUUUCUCGGAUGGCAUUCAUGUCUGAAGCUUCCUAUAUUCCUUCGAUUCUCCAAGAUCCUUGUGAGGAGAGCAGAAGGAGAACACAGUGACCCCAAGGAAGUAGUCCACAGCGGAAGGGCACAGAAAUGGUGGUAGAGGGCUCAAGUGACAUCGCAGAGGAGGGCAGCGGUGCCACCAAGAAUGUGAAAAAGGCGCUGUUGAAAGGGAGGUUCAUAAGCUGUCCAAACCAGGGUCAUAAGCUCCCAGAAAAGUGGCUAUAAUUUCUGCUGAUGAAUUGGAGGAAAUUUGCAAUAAGGAAAAAUACACCCAUCUGAAAAGAAAUCCAGUUCAGAAGGUCAGUCCAGCCCCAAACAACCUCAGGGAACAGGAAUUGGACUCACAGAACAAUGCGGCACUUACUUGGCUUUACAGAGGCCAGCUCAUUCCUUUCCAAAGUGCACACAGUUCACACCUAAUUCUGUGCUGAAGUAUCUACAGAGAACCUAGACACACAGGAGCUCCUCCAAAUUUCUCACUGUUUCUCUGUCCAGAUGCAGGACAGGUCCUUUCGAAGGCUCAGCAACUGUUGACAGUGAGACCAGUUACCACGAACAGUGAAGUCCCUUGAGAGUGUCACCUGAGGAGAUUUUCCUUUAAAUACCAGCAAACAGACAGACAUGACAGUCCAUGCCUGAAAUCCUAGUGCUUGGGAGGCAGAGGCAGGAGGAGCAUGGAUUCAAGGCCAACGUAGGCUGCAUAGUGACACCCUGUCUCAAAAUGAGAACAAAGGCAAGGGCGCAAAAGCAAAGUGCAGGGGCCAGUGGGGGCCUGAGGUCUGGAUCACUCCGGAGCUGCAGUAACUGAUGCCAGGCAGUAAAACACAUAGGACAGAAGGACCUGAGGUCAAUCCCAGGCUCCCAUACGAAGAGGCAGCGAGGUGGUGUAUGCUCGUAGUUUCAAAGCUGAGGCAGCAGAGACAGGAGGAUUAUGGGACUUGGACAGCCAGUAUAACCAAGCAAGUGAGCUUCAGUUUCAGAGAGACCCCAUCUCAAAAGAAGGUAGAGAAACGAGGAAGAAGCUUGGUGCUAACCUCUGACCUUCACACACCCGGUACAUAGGCAUAUGCACAUAUGUGGACGUAUGCACAUCAGAUUUUUUUCCAUCUUAAAGGUUUAAUAUAGUUUGAAAAACAAACCUGAUUUUAAAAAAAGGAAAAAAGCAAACUUAUAAGGUGUCAGAUACAAACUCCUAAGCACCAUUUGGCCACAUGACAAGAGUGACAGCUCGUGACCCAAAAUGUUUCAAACCUUAGUGGAAACUGGAAGGGAAUCUUACACGUAUCCUCCAAAAAUGACAGGACACAUUUUCUAGUAGAAAGAAUCUAGUAGGCAAGAUUUCUUUUAAUUAAAAAUUUUUUAGAUGCAACAUUACAGUAGAACCUCAUUAUAUAGUCAGGUCUGGUGACUAAUGGGCACAAAAGUAUUUAAAAAUCACAAACGCAAAAUCUAGUCCGAGUGGAUACUGAUGAGACCGAAUGCCUAUAAGAGCCUAUGAGAACACAGAUAAUACCAGUAUACGAUGGUCACAGCUCGUACUUACAUAGUGAUCCCUGGGUGCUCGCACUGUGCUGAGUGGUUGGCAUACCUGGACUCAUUUGAUUCUCACAAGAAUCCUUUACGGGGGUCACAUAUGUGGCUACUAUGGGCCCUACCAUUUUUGAUGCACCUAUAUUUAAAAAUCUGUCUGCCCGUCAGACUUUCCCGGAGGCCAGUGCUGAUUAAUCCUUUCAGAUUCUUCGGGCAAGGCCACUUUAAGAUUCCUUAGGAGAAGGCAGUAAAUCUACUUUCACUGAACCCCACCUCUGCGGGGUUCUGUGCUACUAGGGAGCAUAGACCAUCACAACACUGAAUACUUAUGACAACCUUUUGAGGUGAUAAAUGUGAUUAACUUUGUUUUACAUCUGUAGAAAGUACAGAGUUAUAGGCCCCAAGAGAGGGCUCAAGUUAACACUGGUUCUUCUGUCAGAGAUCCCAGUUUUGUUUCUAGCACCCACAUGGUGGCUCCCAAAUAUCCAUUACUCUGUCCUCUGUGGGCACCAAGCAUGGGUAUGGUGAACAUACAUGACAAACAUACACACUCACAGGCAAAACACUCAUGAACAUAAAACAAUUUUUUAAAAAUGCUAUAGAUGUGAAAGGCUUAGUACAGUGUACACCUAGUAAAUGGCAAAGUAAGACUUUCAACCUAUGUCUGUCAGAGUCCUAAAUUUUGUGUUCUUUAUGGUGUGUGUGGGUGUGUUUGUGUUAGGGUUUCUAUUCCUACACAAACAUCAUGAUCAAGAAGAAG